CAGUCGCCGCGGGAAUACGUAGGUGGCAAGCGUUGUCCGGAAUUAUUGGGCGUAAAGGGCUCGCAGGCGGUUUCUUAAGUCUGAUGUGAAGGCCCCCGGCUCAACCGGGGAGGGUCAUUGGAAACUGGGAAACUUGAGUGCAGAAGAGGAGAGUGGAAUUCCACGUGUAGCGGUGAAAUGCGUAGAGAUGUGGAGGAACACCAGUGGCGAAGGCGACUCUCUGGUCUGUAACUGACGCUGAGGAGCGAAAGCGUGGGGAGCGAACAGGAUUAGAUACCCCAGUAGUCCCUGUCUCUUAUAA
rnacentral:rRNA from 1 species